UAUUAAAAAAAUUCAUCUCUUUGUAUUAUUAAAUAUUGGCAUGACUGAUGGAACAACCAUAUAGUGGCAUGUGGCAUGUCACGUAUACCUCAUACUAAUAUAUAUGGAUAAGUUUUUAACAGUAAAAAUAAAUAGAAUUUUUAAUA
rfam:Gossypium hirsutum cultivar TM-1 chromosome 9, whole genome shotgun sequence